rnacentral:rRNA from 1 species
GUGAACGCUGGCGGUAGGCCUAACACAUGCAAGUCGAACGGCAGCACAGUAAGAGCUUGCUCUUACGGGUGGCGAGUGGCGGACGGGUGAGGAAUACAUCGGAAUCUACUUUUUCGUGGGGGAUAACGUAGGGAAACUUACGCUAAUACCGCAUACGACCUACGGGUGAAAGCAGGGGAUCUUCGGACCUUGCGCGAUUGGAUGAGCCGAUGUCGGAUUAGCUAGUUGGCGGGGUAAAGGCCCGCCAAGGCGACGAUCCGUAGCUGGUCUGAGAGGAUGAUCAGCCACACUGGAACUGAGACACGGUCCAGACUCCUACGGGAGGCAGCAGUGGGGAAUAUUGGACAAUGGGCGCAAGCCUGAUCCAGCCAUACCGCGUGGGUGAAGAAGGCCUUCGGGUUGUAAAGCCCUUUUGUUGGGAAAGAAAAGCAGCAGGUUAAUACCCCGCUGUUCUGACGGUACCCAAAGAAUAAGCACCGGCUAACUUCGUG